rnacentral:rRNA from 1 species
UACGUAGGGAGCGAGCGUUGUCCGGAAUUACUGGGUGUAAAGGGAGCGUAGGCGGGGAUGCAAGUUGGGUGUGAAAACUACCGGCUCAACCGAUAGUGGCACUCAAAACUGCAACUCUUGAGUGAAGUAGAGGCAGGCGGAAUUCCUAGUGUAGCGGUGAAAUGCGUAGAUAUUAGGAGGAACACCAGUGGCGAAGGCGGCCUGCUGGGCUUUUACUGACGCUGAGGCUCGAAAGUGUGGGGAGCAAACAGG